rnacentral:rRNA from 1 species
UACGGAGGAUUCAAGCGUUAUCCGGAUUUAUUGGGUUUAAAGGGUGCGUAGGCGGCGCGUUAAGUCUGAUGUGAAAACCCGAGGCUCAACCACGGGAGUGCAUUGGAAACUGGCGAGCUGGAGUGCCGGAGAGGUAAGCGGAAUUCCUAGUGUAGCGGUGAAAUGCGUAGAUAUUAGGAGGAACACCAGUGGCGAAGGCGGCUUACUGGACGGCAACUGACGCUGAGGCUCGAAAGCGUGGGUAUCAAACAGG